rnacentral:lncRNA from 1 species
GAAACCCAAUUCAUUGCGGCAGUUUGUAGGUAGUAUGCUGUGUUUCCUUCAGUAUGGCUUUUGCUUCUGAGCAAUCUCAUGGUGCUGAUUAAUGGAGUCAUUGCCCGCGGCCAGAGAGGAAGAAGUUUACCCAAUCUCCUCAGCAGUAUUGUAUGAUAGACUUAUGGGCAUACUAGGGUGAAUACGCCGGAAGUUGCUGCGCGGAGAUCACAUGAUUCAACAUAGGCAUGAUGCUCCUAUUGUAUGUGUCAUAAAACGCUAAAUGAUUAGGCAACAACAGUAUCGAGUCCUUUAAUUUGUUUUUGUACUAAGCCAGAUGCUCUUUUAAAGUUUGUGACAUGUAUUUGAUUAGCUUAACCUCACUCUC